GUUGGUGAACCAGCGGAGGGAUCAUUACCGAGUUUACAAUUCCCAAACCUUUGUGAACAUACCUAUCGUUGCUUCGGCGGAUUUGCCCCGGUGUUUUCGGGCCCGGACUCAGGCGCCCGCCGGGGGACCCAAACUCUUGUAUUUCUUUAGUAUCUUCUGAGUAAACAAGCAAAUAAAUUAAAACUUUCAACAACGGAUCUCUUGGUUCUG
rnacentral:misc_RNA from 1 species